AUGAACGUUGGCGGCGUGUCUAAGGCAUGCAAGUCGUGCGAAGGUAGCUCUCAGCAAUGAGAGCCACUUAAGCGGCAAACGGGUGAGUAACACAUUGGUAACCUACCUCAAAGACGGGCAUAGCUCACCGAAAGGUGAAUUAAUACCCGAUAGUCAUGGGGGGACAUAUGUCAUUCCCAUGUAAAUCCUCCGGGGCUUUGAGAGGGGCCUAUGUCUGAUUAGCUAGUUGGCAGGGUAAUGGCCUACCAAGGCUCUGAUCAGUAGCAGGCGUGAGAGCGUGACCUGCCUCACUGGGACUGAGACACUGCCCAGACUCCUACGGGAGGCUGCAGUCAAGAAUAUUCCGCAAUGGACGAAAGUCUGACGGAGCGACGCCGCGUGCAGGAAGAAGCCCUUCGGGGUGUAAACUGCUUUUAUGUGGGAAGAAUUCGUGACGGUACCACAAGAAUAAGAGGUUGCUAACUCUGU
rnacentral:rRNA from 1 species